rnacentral:rRNA from 1 species
GACGAACGCUGGCGGCGUGCUUAACACAUGCAAGUCGAACGGAAAGGCCCUGCUUUGUGGGGUGCUCGAGUGGCGAACGGGUGAGUAACACGUGAGUAACCUGCCCUUGACUUUGGGAUAACUUCAGGAAACUGGGGCUAAUACCGGAUAGGAGCUCCUGCUGCAUGGUGGGGGUUGGAAAGUUUCGGCGGUUGGGGAUGGACUCGCGGCUUAUCCGCUUGUUGGUGGGGUAGUGGCUUACCAAGGCUUUGACGGGUAGCCGGCCUGAGAGGGUGACCGGCCACAUUGGGACUGAGAUACGGCCCAGACUCCUACGGGAGGCAGCAGUGGGGAAUAUUGCACAAUGGGCGGAAGCCUGAUGCAGCAACGCCGCGUGCGGGAUGACGGCCUUCGGGUUGUAAACCGCUUUCGCCUGUGACGAAGCGUGAGUGACGGUAAUGGGUAAAGAAGCACCGGCUAACUACGUG